rnacentral:rRNA from 1 species
CCUACGGGUGGCAGCAGUGGGGAAUAUUGGGCAAUGGGCGCAAGCCUGACCCAGCAACGCCGCGUGAAGGAAGAAGGCUUUCGGGUUGUAAACUUCUUUUCUCAGGGACGAAGAAAGUGACGGUACCUGAGUAAUAAGCCACGGCUAACUACGUGCCAGCAGCCGCGGUAAUACGUAGGUGGCAAGCGUUAUCCGGCUUUACUGGGUGUAAAGGGCGUGUAGGCGGGAAAGCAAGUCAGAUGUGAAAACCAUGGGCUCAACCUGUGGACUGCAUUUGAAACUGUUUUUCUGGAGUACUGGAGAGGCAGGCGGAAUUCCUCGUGUAGCGGUGAAAUGCGUAGAUAUGAGGAGGAACACCAGUGGCGAAGGCGGUCUGCUGGACAGCAACUGACGCUGAGGCGCGAAAGCGUGGGGAGCAAACAGGAUUAGAUACCCCAGUAGUC